rnacentral:rRNA from 1 species
UACAGAGGUCUCAAGCGUUGUUCGGAUUCAUUGGGCGUAAAGGGUGCGUAGGUGGCGGGGCAAGUCAGGUGUGAAAUCUCGGGGCUCAACCCCGAAACUGCACUUGAUACUGCUUUGCUCGAGUACUGGAGAGGAGACUGGAAUUUACGGUGUAGCAGUGAAAUGCGUAGAUAUCGUAAGGAAGACCAGUGGCGAAGGCGAGUCUCUGGACAGUUACUGACACUGAGACACGAAGGCCAGGGGAGCAAACGGG